GAUGAACGCUGGCGGCGUGCUUAAUACAUGCAAGUCGAACGAACAGACGAGCUGCUUGCUCCUUUGACGUUAGCGGCGGGCGGGUGAGUAACCCGUGGGUAACCUACCUAUAGGGCUGGGAUUACUUCAGGAGACCGGAGAUAACAGCGGAUAAUAUUUCGAACCGCGUGGUUCGAUAGAGAAAGCUGGCUCUGCUCUGCCUUAUAGAUGGACCCGCGCCGUAUUAGCUAGUUGGUAAGGUAACGGCUUACCAAGGCAACGAUACGUAGCCGACCUGAGAGGGGGAACGGCCACACUGGAACUGAGACACGGUCCAGACUCCUACGGGAGGCAGCAGUAGGGAAUCUUCCGCAAUGGGCGAAAGCCUGACGGAGCAACGCCGCGUGAGUGAUGAAGGUCUUCGGAUCGUAAAGCUCUGUUAGUAGGAAAGAACAAAAGUGUAAGUAUCUGUGCACUUCAUGACGGUACCUGAUCAAUAAGCCACGGCUAACUACGUG
rnacentral:rRNA from 1 species